rnacentral:rRNA from 1 species
GAUGAACGCUGGCGGCGUGCCUAAUACAUGCAAGUCGAGCGAACAGACGAGGAGCUUGCUCCUCUGACGUUAGCGGCGGACGGGUGAGUAACACGUGGAUAACCUACCUAUAAGACUGGGAUAACUUCGGGAAACCGGAGCUAAUACCGGAUAAUAUAUUGAACCGCAUGGUUCAAUAGUGAAAGACGGUUUUGCUGUCACUUAUAGAUGGAUCCGCGCCGCAUUAGCUAGUUGGUAAGGUAACGGCUUACCAAGGCAACGAUGCGUAGCCGACCCGAGAGGGUGAUCGGCCACACUGGAACUGAGACACGGUCCAGACUCAUACGGGAGGCAGCAGUAGGGAAUCUUCCGCAAUGGGCGAAAGCCUGACGGAGCAACGCCGCGUGAGUGAUGAAGGUCUUCGGAUCGUAAAACUCUGUUAUUAGGGAAGAACAAAUGUGUAAGUAACUAUGCACGUCUUGACGGUACCUAAUCAGAAAGCCACGGCUAACUACGUG